rnacentral:miRNA from 1 species
UAGAAGUGUACUCCACAUCAAA